rnacentral:rRNA from 1 species
UACGGGGGGGGCAAGCGUUGUUCGGAAUUACUGGGCGUAAAGGGCGCGUAGGCGGCUAGAUAAGUCUGUCGUGAAAGCCCGUGGCUUAACCAUAGAAUUGCGGUUGAUACUGUUUGGCUUGAGUGCGGGAGAGGAGGGUGGAAUUCCACGUGUAGCGGUGAAAUGCGUAGAUAUGGGGAAGAACACCGGUUGCGAAGGCGGCUGGCUAGACCGGCACUGACGCUGAGGCGCGAAAGCUAGGGGAGCAAACAGG